rnacentral:rRNA from 1 species
ACGCUGGCGGCGUGCUUAACACAUGCAAGUCGAACGAUGAACCAGGAGCUUGCUCUUGGGGAUUAGUGGCGAACGGGUGAGUAACACGUGAGUAACCUGCCCUUGACUCUGGGAUAAGCGUUGGAAACGACGUCUAAUACCGGAUACGAGCUUCAGCCGCAUGGCUAGGAGCUGGAAAGAAUUUCGGUCAAGGAUGGACUCGCGGCCUAUCAGCUAGUUGGUGAGGUAAUGGCUCACCAAGGCGACGACGGGUAGCCGGCCUGAGAGGGUGACCGGCCACACUGGAACUGAGACACGGUCCAGACUCCUACGGGAGGCAGCAGUGGGGAAUAUUGCACAAUGGGCGAAAGCCUGAUGCAGCAACGCCGCGUGAGGGACGACGGCCUUCGGGUUGUAAACCUCUUUUAGCAGGGAAGAAGCGAAAGUGACGGUACCUGCAGAAAAAGCACCGGCUAACUACGUGCCAGCAGCCGCGGUAAUACGUAGGGUGGCAAGCGUUGUCCGGAAUUAUUGGGCGUAAAGAGCUCGUAGGCGGUUUGUCGCGUCUGCUGUGAAAUCCCGAGGCUCAACCUCGGGUCUGCAGUGGGUACGGGCAGACUAGAGUGCGGUAGGGAGAUUGGAAUUCCUGGUGUAGCGGUGGAAUGCGCAGA